rnacentral:tRNA from 4 species
GCUAACGUGGCUCAAUUGGUAGAGCAGCUGACUUGUAAUCAGCAGGUUACCGGUUCAAGUCCGGUCGUUAGCUCCA